UACGUAGGCAGCGAGCGUUGUUCGGAGUUACUGGGCGUAAAGAGUGCGUAGGCGGUUUUCUAAGUUUGGUGUGAAAUCUCCCGGCUUAACUGGGAGGGUGCGCCGAAGACUGGAAGGCUUGAGUAUGGGAGAGGUAAGCGGAAUUCCUGGUGUAGCGGUGAAAUGCGCAGAUAUCAGGAGGAACACCGGUGGCGAAGGCGGUUCUCUGGGCCUUACCUGACGCUGAGGAGCGAAAGCAUGGGGAGCAAACAGG
rnacentral:rRNA from 1 species